ensembl:lncRNA
GACAAGCACAAAAGCCCCGCCCAUGCCUCUGAGAACAUUGGACCACGAGCCUUUGAAAAAGGCUUCGGCUCCUUCGUCACGAGUAAUCUUCCUCCAGCAAUCAAGCGUGCCUGUGCACAUGAUAUCAGUUCCUUGGCGCCCUGACUGCAUCAUCAUGCGGCGACGCACAGUGUCGAACAGAUAGGAACUCAACCCAGCAACCGCCGUGACUGCGCGGUCAGCCAGCUAAUGAAGAUAGGAGUGUUCUUGGGAUCUGGAAGCAUUCCCUUGGCAGUGUCAUAGAUACCGAAUGAUUUGCUUGCUGGCAUGCUGCCCCUGCAUCAGCAGCUUCACCUGCUCGAUGGGCGCGACCGUGGUCUUGGAGAUGGCCGCCGCCACUCCACCUGCCAGGAAGUCCUUGGCGAAGGACACGGCAGCAUCUGUCAUCUUGGAAGGAAAGAAAUAUACAAAGAUGAAUAGAGACUCUGCCCUCCAUCAACUUACAGUCUAUUAGAGAAGAGAAGAUAGGCACACAGCUCAGGUGUGAGAUCAGAGACAAGUCAGUGGGAGAGGCACACAGCUACAACUCUGUCUAGAUUUCUUUCCUCUGAGGUGCGGGGAAUGACUGAGAGAACUCUUGAUCCUGGGUGGUUACCUGAAGUGGAGCUAGUGAAGUCAAACUGCUGGUGCACAAGGAACAUCGUCUGUAAUGGGACCCUCAUGUCUGAGUGGGCAGGUCAGGUGAUGCUGCAAGAGCUGAAUCAAGAAUGUCUUGGAGUGGGGAGGCAGACACAGUUUGCAUUUCACCUAGGGAACGCUCACGUUAGGGAACUCUGCCAGGUGAUCUCUCUGCAUGAUCACCCUCAAGGCCUUAAGACUGAGACUCAGGUCCUGGGACAUCAGUACUAGAAUUUUUUUUUUUUUUUAAUUCUAAUAAACGUACUUAACCUAAGAUCUGCACCUUCAGAUCUCAAGGCACAGAUCUUUAAGUGCAAACUAUAGUAUUGCUAGUUAUAGGCGCAAUGUUGUACAGCUAAUCUCUAGAACUCAUCCAGCUUAUAUAAUUGAAACUUUAUACCCAUUAAACAGCAACUUCCCAUUUUCUCUCCUCUGUCCCUAGCCAUUGACAACCACCAUUCUAUCUUCUGUUUCUGUGAGUGUGAAUAUUUUAUAUACCUCAUAUAAUUGGAAUCAUGCAGUAUUUAUACUUCUAUGGCUAACUUCUCAUAAUGCCUUCCAGGUCUGUAUAUGUUGCAUAAAGCUCAAGAUUUUCUUCCUUUUUUUUUAGGCUGAAUAAUAUCUGUGUUUGUAUAUAGCACAUUUUAUUUAUCCAGUCAGGACUUCCCUCAUAGCUCAGUUGGUGAGGAAUCUGUCUGCAAUGCAGGAAGACCCUGGUUUGAUCCCUGAGUUGGGAAGAUCUGCUGGAGAAGGGAUAGACUACCCACUCUAGUAUUCUUGAGCUUCCCUUGUGGCUCAGCUGGUAAAGAAUCUGCCAGCAAUGUGGGAGACCUGGGUUCAAUCCCUGGGUUGGGAAGAUUCUCUGGAGAAGGGAAAGGCUAUCCACUCCAGUUUUCUGGCUUGGAGAAUUACAUGGACUGUAUAGUCUAUGGGAUUGCAAAGAGUCGGACAUGACCAAAUGACUUAAAAAUAAACGUAUCCGAUCAUCUGUUGAUGGGCAUUUAGGUGGUCUCCCUAUCAUGUUGCUGUUGUCCAGUCACUAAGUCGUGUCCAACUCUUUGUGACCCAGAGACUGCAGCAUGCCAGGCUCCUCUGUCCCUCGGUAUCUCCCAGAGUUUGCUGAAAUUCAUGUCUAUUGAGUUAGUGAUGUUAUUUAACCAUCUCAUCCUCUGCCUCUCCCUUCUCCUUUUGCCUUCAAUCUUUCCCGGCAUCAAGGUCUUUUCCUAUGAAUUGGCUCUUCACAUCAGGUGGCCAAAUUAUUGGACUGCAGGUUUUCAUGUUGCCGUUUUAGCCAACCUGGCUUCAACCAAAGAGCUUCCUUUAACAUUUCUUGUAAAACAGGUCUAGAGAUGAUGGAUUUCCUUUUUCUCUUUUGCCAUGGGACAUCUUUAUCUCUCAUUUUUGAAGGCAAGUUUAUUGCUAUUCUUGGUUGAUAGUUUUUUUUUUCUUUCAGCACUAUUUAUAUAUCAUUCUACUCCUUUCUGUCAUGUGACGUUUCUAGUGAGAAACUAAAGAUCCUGCAUGCCACAAUGAAGAUCGAAGAUCCCAAGUGCGGCAACUAAGACCAGGCAAGCCAAAAAAAAAAAAAAAAAAUGUCCGAAAGGCAAAAGGCAGAAGUACUUGAUUUCAUGUUCCCACUUGGCCUGCCUGUGUACCCAGUCACUAAAUUGUGUCCCACUCUUUGCCACCCCGUGGAUUGUACCCUACCAGGCUUCUCUGCCCAUGGGAUUUUCCAGGCUGGAAAGAAUGCUGGAGUGGGUUGCCAUUUCCUCCCCCAGGGGAUCUUCCUGAUCGAGCCUGAGUCUCCUGCAUCUCCAGCAUUGGCAGGCAGAUUCUUUACCACUGAGCCACCAGGGAAGCCCUUCCCACUUGAGAGCACAGUAGUGACCUCUGACUUAUCCUCUGUCUAAGCUCUGAUAGAGCAUGUUCUAAGUUGCUAAAAAAUGAAAUGAUAAGGAAGUUGAAAUGCCAUGCUUUGUUUUAUGAAGUUAAAUAAAAGAGAGUUAAAGAUGAAUAUGGAAGCUUCCUAUAUUACACUGGGAUAAACAAAUUUAACUCUGAGGCAAUGAAAUUAGAUAAACCCCUCCUGUUGUUAGUGGUGGAAGAAGCACCUGCCAUAUAAAGGAACAAUGGAGGGCAAGGCAUUUGGAACUAGUGGGAAAAGGCAAUGGUCACUGUGGGGAGACUAGCAAGUGGAGGGCUUGGGUUUGCAGUCAGGUAACCCUGGGAUAGUCAGAUAUCGCCAGGCCAUAACCACACAAUUCGUCUUCCCAGUUUUGUUGUCUUGAGAAAGUGAAAGUGUUAGUUGCUCAGUCAUGUCUGACUCUGCAACCCCAUGAACUGUAGCUCCCCAGGCUCCUUUGUCCAUGGGACAGAGCCACCAGGGACCCACGUUUUGUAACUGCUCUAUUGGGUACCCUGAUCUUGAUUCCUCUUCUCCUCCCACUGUCUCCAACACUGGCGUGGCCUAAGGUCUAAGACCACUGUGUGUGACCCCACGUGAGCCCCUUUGGGGAAGCAGAGCCAGAAAUUCAUUCAGCAAGAGAGCUGACCAAAGUUGGAGUUUCUCCCCUACAGAACUCUGACUAACAAACACAUUUUGCACGCUGCUUCAGGCCAACUUCUGUCAUAUAUCCAUAGUCACAGCUACAGGCCCAGCCAAGGCACUACUCCAAACCCAUCCACACUGGUUACCAAAGGCUGUCAAAUGAGAAAACAAUGAUCGAUGGCUUUACAAGGUUUUGCUGAAAGCUCUGUCCAUAAUGAUCUUUAUUCUCUAAACCCUAGAGCACAAAUAAAACCUAUCAGAUAUAACUUGACCUUUAAUCAUAUUUUAUCUAGAUAAAACAGCACAAUAGCUGGCAUUGGAGUCAAAACUGGAUGGGAAUUUUAUUUAUAUCAAUGUGUGUGUGACCUUGAAUGAGUUUCUCAAACUUGGUAUCUCUGGUCAAUAAGUACAUUAUAAGGGAAGGUACACAUUUAGUGAAAUACUGGAUAUUAAGAAUUUAGCUGAAUGUCUAGCAUAUGGUAGAAACUUAAACAUUAUUAACUAUCAUCAUUACUAUUAAUAUUUGUUCUUGUUUCCCCCACUUAGAUUAUGAAUACUUAGAAGGCAGGGUCAUGUUAAACAGUUUUUUUAAUGAUCAUCACAGCAUCAGAAAUAGCACUACUGUGCUGCCAAAUGGGAACAUAAAAUCAAGUAUGUCUACAUUUUGGAGGAUAUUUUAAAGGUCAUACCCCACCUGGAAGUGGCAAUAUUGAUCUCAUGGCCAGUCCUUUAUUUCUGCUUUCAGCCCAUUGCCUCCUGCUUCCCAAGGGACAUUGAUCCAUCACUGGUCUAUCCCUCUCAACCCCUGAAACUCAGUCUCUGCAAGCCCCUCCCCUUCCAUUUGGAAUGGACUCAUCUCUCUUCUGUAUCAAAAAUGUCAUCUCAUAGUCCUUUUUCCAAUAGCACCAUUCCAUUUCCCUCUUUACUUGUGUCCUCGUAUAUAAUGGAAGAUUGUUCUACAGGUAUUGCUAUUACAUUUGCCCGAUUCAAUCACUUUUUUAUUCUGUUAAGUAAAAGUUGCCCUAGCCCCAUACUGAAAAUACUUGUUCAUCUUUUACAAGUAACCUCUGACUUAUC